rnacentral:rRNA from 1 species
UACGGAGGGGGCGAGCGUUGUUCGGAAUCACUGGGUGUAAAGGGUGCGUAGGCGGUCCGUUAAGUCUGAUGUGAAAUCCUGGAGCUCAACUCCAGAACUGCCUUCGAUACUGGCGAUCUUGAGUCCGGAAGAGGUGAGUGGAACUCCUAGUGUAGAGGUGGAAUUCGUAGAUAUUAGGAAGAACACCAGUGGCGAAGGCGGCUCACUGGUCCGGUACUGACGCUGAGGUGCGAAAGCGUGGGGAGCAAACAGG